rnacentral:rRNA from 1 species
GAUGAACGCUGGCGGCGUGCCUAAUACAUCCAAGUCGAGCGAACAGACGAGGAGCUUGCUCCUCUGACGUUAGCGGCGGAAGGGUGAGUAAAACGUGGAUAACCUACCUAUAAGACUGGGAUAACUUCGGGAAACCGGAGCUAAUACCGGAUAAUAUAUUGAACCGCAUGGUUCAAUAGUGAAAGACGGUUUUGCUGUCACUUAUAGAUGGAUCCGCGCCGCAUUAGCUAGUUGGUAAGGUAACGGCUUACAAAGGCGACGAUGCGUAGCCGACCUGAGAGGGUGAUCGGCCACACUGGAACUGAGACACGGUCCAGACUCCUACGGGAGGCAGCAGUAGGGAAUCUUCCUCAAUGGGCGAAAGCCUGACGGAGCAACGCCGCGUGAGUGAUGAUGGUCUUCGGAUCGUAAAACUCUGUUAUUAGGGAAGAACAAAUGUGUAAGUAACUAUGCACGUCUUGACGGUACCUAAUCAGAAAGCCACGGCUAACUACGUG